rnacentral:rRNA from 1 species
GACGAACGCUGGCGGCGUGCUUAACACAUGCAAGUCGAACGGAAAGGCCCUGCUUUUGUGGGGUGCUCGAGUGGCGAACGGGUGAGUAACACGUGAGUAACCUGCCCUUGACUUUGGGAUAACUUCAGGAAACUGGGGCUAAUACCGGAUAGGAGCUCCUGCUGCAUGGUGGGGGCUGGAAAGUUUCGGCGGUUGGGGAUGGACUCGCGGCUUAUCAGCUUGUUGGUGGGGUAGUGGCUUACCAAGGCUUUGACGGGUAGCCGGCCUGGGAGGGUGACCGGCCACAUUGGGACUGAGAUACGGCCCAGACUCCUACGGGAGGCAGCAGUGGGGAAUAUUGCACAAUGGGCGGAAGCCUGAUGCAGCAACGCCGCGUGCGGGAUGACGGCCUUCGGGUUGUAAACCGCUUUCGCCUGUGACGAAGCGUGAGUGACGGUAAUGGGUAAAGAAGCACCGGCUAACUACGUG